rfam:Myotis lucifugus cont2.33169, whole genome shotgun sequence.
GGUGGGGGAAAACGGUCCCUCAGCCUGGAUUGUGAGAGGGUGCAGGCCAGGCCAAGGGACCCCAUUGAUGCACA